rnacentral:rRNA from 1 species
UCCUACGGGGGGCAGCAGUGGGGAAUUUUGGACAAUGGGCGCAAGCCUGAUCCAGCCAUGCCGCGUGCGGGAAGAAGGCCUUCGGGUUGUAAACCGCUUUUGUCAGGGAAGAAACGGCUUGAACUAAUACUUUGAGCUAAUGACGGUACCUGAAGAAUAAGCACCGGCUAACUACGUGCCAGCAGCCGCGGUAAUACGUAGGGUGCAAGCGUUAAUCGGAAUUACUGGGCGUAAAGCGUGCGCAGGCGGCCAUGCAAGACAGAUGUGAAAUCCCCGGGCUCAACCUGGGAACUGCAUUUGUGACUGCAUGGCUGGAGUGCGGCAGAGGGGGAUGGAAUUCCGCGUGUAGCAGUGAAAUGCGUAGAUAUGCGGAGGAACACCGAUGGCGAAGGCAAUCCCCUGGGCCUGCACUGACGCUCAUGCACGAAAGCGUGGGGAGCAAACAGGAUUAGAAACCCUAGUAGUCCU